AACGAACGCUGGCGGCAUGCCUAACACAUGCAAGUCGAACGAGACCUUCGGGUCUAGUGGCGCACGGGUGCGUAACGCGUGGGAACCUGCCUUUAGGUUCGGAAUAACUCAGAGAAAUUUGAGCUAAUACCGGAUGAUGUCUUCGGACCAAAGAUUUAUCGCCUUUAGAUGGGCCCGCGUUGGAUUAGCUAGUUGGUGGGGUAAAGGCCUACCAAGGCGACGAUCCAUAGCUGGUCUGAGAGGAUGAUCAGCCACACUGGGACUGAGACACGGCCCAGACCCCUACGGGGGGGAGAGGGGGGGAAUAUUGGAAAAGGGGCGAAAGCCGGAUCCAGCAAGGCCGGGUGGGUGAUGAAGGCCUUGGGGUUUUAAAGCUCUUUUACCCGAGAUGAUAAUGACAGGAUGGGGAGAAAAAGCCCCGGCUAACUCCGU
rnacentral:rRNA from 1 species